rnacentral:rRNA from 1 species
UAGGGAAUCCUCGGCAAUGGACGGAAGUCUGACCGAGCAACGCCGCGUGAGUGAAGAAGGUUUUCGGAUCGUAAAGCUCUGUUGUUAGAGAAGAACGUUGGUAGGAGUGGAAAAUCUACCAAGUGACGGUAACUAACCAGAAAGGGACGGCUAACUACGUGCCAGCAGCCGCGGUAAUACGUAGGUCCCGAGCGUUGUCCGGAUUUAUUGGGCGUAAAGCGAGCGCAGGCGGUUCUUUAAGUCUGAAGUUAAAGGCAGUGGCUUAACCAUUGUACGCUUUGGAAACUGGAGGACUUGAGUGCAGAAGGGGAGAGUGGAAUUCCAUGUGUAGCGGUGAAAUGCGUAGAUAUAUGGAGGAACACCGGUGGCGAAAGCGGCUCUCUGGUCUGUAACUGACGCUGAGGCUCGAAAGCGUGGGGAGCAAACAGGAUUAGAUACCCUGGUAGUCCACGCCGUAAACGAUGAGUGCUAGGUGUUAGGCCCUUUCCGGGGCUUAGUGCCGCAGCUAACGCAUUAAGCACUCCGCCUGGGGAGUACGACCGCAAGGUUG